rnacentral:lncRNA from 1 species
CAGCCUGGCAGUAUUGAACCUGUUGCUGCAUUAGCCGAGUUGUAUUUUGCUAGAUAGGGGAAGGAGGGUUGUCUGCUGUCUGGUAGGAGGGCUUUGUCUGUGUGCGCCUUUCUCUCUCUCCCUCUCUCGCUCUCCCUGUCUCUCGCACUCUCGCUCGCUCUCGCUCGCUCUCUCUCGCUCGCUCUCCCUUUCCCGUCUCUGUGGUUUGUAAGGUAGGUUGCAGUGUGUGUAUAUACACAACAUCAAGAGCAGGAAAAUGGACUCAUUAGGGAGGCAGGCAGUCAUUACCACUCACACUGUACUUCCAGGGAGACAGCGACUAUGAGGAGACAAACUGAGGACUGGGGAACAAGCAGCACAAGAGAGAAGUGUUGAGAGCUGCUCUUAACCCUUUUGGAGUCCGAAGUCAAAAGACUGCCUGAAGUUACAUUGUAGAUGCUGAAAUCACUGCACCUUAAAAACAAAAAGAUUAAGCUGCACUGCGUUCCUCAGCGGUUGGCAGUUUUCCUCAACUUUGCAAGAGAGAGAGAGAGUUGGUUGGAAUGAAACCUUGCUCUCCAUACAUCCUGCUUGAGAUGCAGCAUUGAAAGGUAUAAUAAUCUCAUUUUCUGUCUUGAAUCCAGAGCUGAAAACCACAAACAGGUAGAAAUCUCAGUGCCAAACCACCUGUUGAGUCACAGAC